rnacentral:rRNA from 1 species
UAGAGUUUGAUCCUGGCUCAGAUUGAACGGCUGGCGGCAUGGCUAAAACAUGCAAGUCGAACGAACCCGCAAGGGUGAGUGGCGAAAGGGUUAGUAAUACGAUCGAACGUGCCCUGAGGUGGGGGAUAGCGUUGGGAAACUGACGGUAAUACCCCAUGAUCUCGGAAGAGCAAAGGUUUACCGCCUUGGGAUCGGCGAUCGUCCUAUCAGGUAGUUGGCGGGGUAAUGGCCCACCGAGCCUUAGACGGGUAGCGGGUGUGAGAGCACGACCCGCAACAUCGGGACUGAGACACUGCCCGGACUCCUACGGGAGGCUGCAGUAACGAAUCUUCCGCAAUGGGCGAAAGCCUGACGGAGCAAUGCCGCGUGUGGGAUGAAGCGUCUCUGACGGUGUAAACCACGUGUCAGGGGGUAGAA